GCUUACGGCCACACCGGCCUGAGUAUGCCUGAUCUCGUCCGAUCUUGGAAGCUAAGCUGGGUCGGGCCUGGUUAGUACUUGGAUGGGAGACCGCCUGGGAAUACCAGGUGCUGUAAGCU
rnacentral:rRNA from 1 species